UUUCCGGUUGAUCCUGCCGCCGGCCACCGCUAUCAAGUUCCGACUAAGCCAUGCGAGUCAAGGUAUCGUAAGAUGCCGGCACACUGCUCAGUAACACGUGGACAAUCUAACCUUGAGUAAGGGAUAACCUCGGGAAACUGAGGGUAAUACCUUAUAAUUGCUUAAAACUGGAAUGUUUAGGCAAUCAAAACUACGGUGCUCAAGGAUGAGUCUGCGACCUAUCAGGUAGUAGGUGGUGUAAUGGACCACCUAGCCUCAGACGGGUACGGGCCCUGGGAGGGGUAGCCCGGAGAUGGACUCUGAGACAUCAGUCCAGGCCCUACGGGGCGCAGCAGGCGCGAACACUGUGCAAUGCGCGAAAGCGCGACACGGGGAGCUUGAGUGUCUUGGCAUAGCCAAGACUUUUCUCAUUCCUAAAAAGCAUGAGGAAUAAGUGCUGGGUAAGACGGGUGCCAGCCGCCGCGGUAACACCCGCAGCACAAGUGGUGGUCACUUUUAUUGAGCCUAAAGCGUUCGUAGCCGGUUUUGUAAAUCUUUAGAUAAAGCCUGAAGCUUAACUCCAGAAAGUCUGAAGAGACUGCAAGACUUGAGAUCGGGUGAGGUUAAACGUACUUUCAGGGUAGGGGUAAAAUCCUGUAAUCCCGGAAGGACGACCAGUGGCGAAAGCGUUUAACUAGAACGAAUCUGACGGUAAGGAACGAAGGCUAGGGUAGCAAACCGGAUUAGAUACCCGGGUAGUCCUAGCUGUAAACACUGCCCAUUUGAUGUUGCUUUUCCGUUGAGGGAAGGCAGUGUCGGAGCGAAGGUGUUAAAUGGGCCGCUUGGGAAGUAUGGUCGCAAGACUGAAACUUAAAGGAAUUGGCGGGGGAGCACCGCAACGGGAGGAAUGUGCGGUUUAAUUGGAUUCAACGCCGGA
rnacentral:rRNA from 1 species